GGAUGUGAGGGCAGCCUGGCUGUGAUAUCUGUCACUCCACUGAUAGACAGGAUUGACUGAGCUGAUCUGGCUGGCUAGACAGGUGUCCCCUCCCUCCCUCCCACGUGUGUCCCUUCUGAAGCUGUAUGCUUAGUAGAAGAGGAUAACCUUCUGCAAUAGUGCUUCAUGCGUAGUUCAUGAAUGCUAUAGGCUUCAUGCACUGUAGUCCAUUCUUCAGUCAAGGAUAUACAAGUAGCUGUGCUCCCUUGCUACAACCUCCAAACAAGCACUCAAGGUCCAUUUACAGGAACACGCAGGAUAGUCAAGCUUCUAAGAAUCCAGUCACUGAU
rnacentral:snRNA from 1 species